UUUUGAGACGGAGUCUCGCUCUGUCGCCCAGACUGGAGUGCAGUGGCCGGAUCUUGGCUCACUGCAAGCUCCGCCUCCUGGGUUCACGCCAUUCUCCUGCCUCAGCCUCCCGAGUAGCUGGGACUACAGAGCCUGCCACGGCCCGGCUAGUUUUUUGUAUUUUUUUAGUAGAGACGGGUUUCACCAUGUUAGCCAGGAUGGUCUCGAUCUCCUGACCUCGUGAUCUGCCCGUCUCGGCCUCCCAAAGUGCUGGGAUUACAGGCUUGAGCCACCGCGCCCAGCCCCCGUUCUGUAUUUUCUUCCCUCGCACGAAUGCAUACGGCCUCCUGACAAACUAUAUAAUUCACACUUACUGGUCAGGCCUGUUGUCUCUCUCUCCUCUGGAAUCUCAGCUCCACGAUGGAGAGAUCUCAACCGUUCCACCCACUACUGUUUCCCCAGCACUGAGCCCAGGGUCUGGCACAUAGUAGGUGCCCAGGAAGUAUUUAAUGAGUAGAUGAAUGAACACCAUUCUUUUUUUUUUUUUUUAAAGACAGAAUUUCAUUCUUGUUGCCCAGGCUGGAGUGCAAUGGCAUGAUCUCGGCUCACUGCAAUCUCCGCCUCCCAGGUUCAAGUGAUUUUCCUGCCUCAGCCGCCCGAGUAACUGUGAUUACAGGCACGUACUACAACGCUCGGUUAAUUUUGUAUUUUUAGUAGAGACGGGGUUUCACCUUGUUGGUCAGGCUGGUCUCAAACUCCUGACUGCAGGUGAUCUGCCCACCUUGGCCUCCUAAAGUACAAUUUUUUUGUAUUUUUAAUAGAGACGGGGGUUUCUCCAUGUUGGCCAGGCUGGUCUCAAACUCCUGACCUCAGGUAAUCCAUUUGCCUCGGCCUCCCAAAGUGCUAGAAUUACAGGCGUGAGCCACUGUGCCUGGACUAAGGAACACCAUUCUUGAGAGUUACUAUACGUCCCAGGCCCCACCACAGAUGAAUCAGGCAUGCCACCUCCUUAAUUUGGCCACAGCUUUGGGAGCACACAGUAGGCCCACAGACAAGAGGGAAGGGCUCAGAGCCUGACAGCCUGGGUUCAAAUCCUAGCACCGCCACUUUCUCCUUGUGUGACAUUAGGCAAGCAAGUCUCCCUUCCUGGGCCUCAGUUUCCCCAUAUGUACCACUGGGAUAAUAUGAGCAGUCCAUCUGCUGGGCUGCCCUUUGGAGUCAAUGGGCUCGUUGUGUGGGACGCCGACAGCAUGACUAAUUCUGAAAGCUGGUUCCCUUCCUGGAAGGGGGUGGAGUGGGAGGGGUGUGGCUGUGUGUUUUCCAAUAGCCGACAAUGGAACUCUUGUAGGCAGGGGCCCUCUGGCGUAGAAAACACAUCCACCCCUGUGGGUUCUAGACAAAAGCUUCAGGUCUCAGAGUGGAGGUUUACCAGGCCAUUUACACUCUUUGAAGAUUGUUAAGAUGAAAUACUGGUUUGGGGGGACUUAAGGACACUGGGGUGGGUUCCCAUUUUGCCCUCUCUCCCUGCAAGAAGUGGCUGCCAGAGGUGCGAGGUGGGGCAGGAUCUCUCCCACCUACAACUCCUGAGGAGAGGAUUAGAUAGGCUUAAGAAAACCUCUGGGCCACAGUGAUUGGCUCAGUGGGGUUUAAUUAAAGUGAAGCAUUGGAAUUUUUGUUGCUUACUUAGGGUAAGAAAAGAUUUGGGUUUUGGACAAUGGG
rnacentral:lncRNA from 1 species